CUCUUUCACCCUGAAAGUGUCUUCGAAUGUAGGAUUGGCAAUAGCUACCAUGUCUUUAAGGGUCUUAUGGUCAUGUGUGUAGAGUCAACCCAGUCAAGUGAUGCAUGCAUGUCUUGUAAAUAGAAAGUCCCAAACUUGUUAUAUGAGCCACCCCCUCUCCAAUACAUUCCCAUUACAUAUUCUCUAGUGUCUCCUGGGCUGGGGUGUUCUAUGCUCAAAGUGAGUUUCAUUGAGGUUGACCCUGUUGGCUUACAUAAGGUCAUUCUGUGUAACAGGGGUUUCCCAUGUCUGCCCACCCUAUUCAAGGUCUGUAGCCCCAUGGUCAGCCUGUGUUUCA